ensembl:lincRNA Gm12766 predicted gene 12766
ACCAGUCUUCUCUUAGCUGCUUUUGGAACAAGAUGUAGAACCCUCAGCUCCUCCAGCCUCACAUCUGCCUGGAUGCUGCCAUGCUUCUGCCUUGAUGAUAAUGGGCUGAACCUCAGAACCUCUAAGCCAACCCCAAUUAAAUAGUGUCCUUUAGAAGAGUUGCCUUGGUCAAGGUGUCUGUUAGGGUAUGUAGCUCAGGCUGACCUUCUCCCUGGUUUAGUCAGCCUGCCAAAUGCAUGCACCACUGGAUAAAGCCCUCCUUUUAACUGAACUGUAACUCUGAUGCUGAAUGGAGAGGCUAUGGCAGAGAAAGCCAGCCUACUGUGGAUGCCUGAAGCUAACACGGUUUUAAGAUGUAUUCAGUUCGUUGUCAGCCCUAGGAAUCCAUGCUCAGUCACUGUAGUUUGUGCUUCAGACUCUAUUGUGUGAAGGCUGUGGAGAUGGCUCCCUGGGGAAGUGCUUGAUAUGGAGGCACAGGACCUGAAUUUGGAUCCCCAGCAUCUAUACCGAGAGCUGAGCAUCACCACACACUUUUAUAAUCUCAGCGCUGGAGAGGCAAAGACUGGUGAAUCCCCAGAAACUCACGGCUAGCCAGCUGAGCCAAAGUGAUGAUCUCUAGUUCAGUCUGCAGGUGUCUCUGGCAUGCAGAGCCAUCAAAUCCCCUUGAGCUGGAGACAGAGGCGACGAUGAACUGCCUGAUGUACUUGGAGCUGAACCUGGGUCUUCAGCAAGGACAGUGCACACUCAUGACCACUGAGUCAUCUCUCCGAGACCCAAGAGAAACACACCAAAGACCUUCUGGUGGUGUUCUGGAUGCUUCUUGCCACUUCUGCAGACUCGGGUGGAUUGGUUGAGCCUCUCAGUUUCUUCUGGAUCAAGCCGCUGCUGAUUCCUGUUUGAUGUUUGGCCUGGACUGCUGACAGCGAAGAUUGGAACUGCCCCAAAGAACCCCUGCUUCCUACUAACCUUUCUUUUUCCUUACCUGUGGGCCUGGGUACCAGAGGUUGUCCAUAAAGAUCUCUGUCCAGUCCUGGUGCUAGGGUUCCAGCAAAUGGAAGCAAGUGCAGGCAGGGAGACAAAGUCUCUGCCCUGCCUUCCAGAUCUCUCCGAACUCCAAGCCACUCUGAACUGAGUUGGGUCGGGCUGGGCUGACAAGAAGCUGACUAUUCAGUGAGAAGUGUGGCGGGACCUCAGGUGGCUCUUCAGGAGAGAAGAUCUCUUCCCAAGUGUUACACACAGCUCUUGGAACAAAAGACUCAGAGGAAGGAGUAGUUCUCACGCACCUUUAAUUCCCUGGAUGGAUUUAUAUACAGUUCAGGGGGUGAUUCAUGGUUUGACAGCAUGUACCUCUCAUUGGCUUGGACUGAGAGUUUGGGGGAAACCUUAUUUGCAUGUGGGAAGGCUUGGUACUGCUCCUAGUGACUGAUAUAGCCACACACUUCUCCUGUGGGGGCUGUGGGGGCAGUAACUUCGACAGGAGCCAGGGGUCCAAGAGACAUGAUCAAAUGUCUUCAGUCCCAUGUAGGUGGAAAUCACCACCCACCGGGUCUCAUCAGGGUUCAAGACCUAUGCUGGAGUGGAGACUAGGCUGUCUGUGAGUAGCCCAUUGCCCCACACAUACCUCUGGUGGGUAGAGGGCUAGAAGGGAUGUUGAAGCGUUGAAGAGCCAUAAUUAAAGCAGGUUUUGAAAAAUCUAAGCCUUCAAUGCUUCCUAAUCCUUCUCAAAGAGUUCCAUCAACUGAGGACCAAGUAUUCAAAUAUAGAAGCCUGUGGGGCCGUUCUCAUUCAAAUCACCAUACUUGUAAUUAUUUUUGAAAUUUAAUUAAGAUUUUUGUUUAUUUUUG